rnacentral:rRNA from 1 species
AACACGUGGAUAAUCUACCCUAAGGUGGAGGAUAACCUCGGGAAACUGAGAAUAAUACUCCAUAAGUCUAGGAUACUGGAAUGUACUUAGGCUGAAAACUUCGGUGCCCUAGGAUGAGUCUGCGGACUAUCAGGUUGUAGUCAGGGUAAAGACCUGACUAGCCUACAACGGAUACGGGUUGUGAGAGCAAUAACCCGGAGAUGAUAUCUGAGACACGAUAUCAGGCCCUACGGGGCGCAGCAGGCGCGAAAACUUCACACUGCGCGAAAGCGCGAUGAGGGAAUCCCAAGUGCUUGCACGUAAGUGUAAGCUGUUUCUAUGUCUAAAACGCAUAGAGAGUAAGAGCUGGGUAAGACGGGUGCCAGCCGCCGCGGUAAUACCUGCAGCUCAAGUGGUGGCCGUUAUUAUUGGGCCUAAAACGUCCGUAGC